rnacentral:sRNA from 1 species
CCGCAGCCCGGCUUGAGUGGAAAUCCUUUUUUGUGGCUGGAAAGGCGGUGGCAAAAAGAUUGGGAACGGAAGACGGAAUAGCU